UAAUACGUAGGGGGCGAGCGUUGUCCGGAUUUAUUGGGCGUAAAGAGCUCGUAGGCGGCUGUUCGAGUCGGGUGUGAAACCCCAGGGCUUAACUCUGGGCCUGCAUUCGAUACUGGGCGGCUUGAGUCUGGUAGGGGGAUCUGGAAUUCCUGGUGUAGCGGUGGAAUGCGCAGAUAUCAGGAGGAACACCGGUGGCGAAGGCGGGAUCCUGGGCCAGUACUGACGCUGAGGAG
rnacentral:rRNA from 1 species